rnacentral:rRNA from 1 species
GACGAACGCUGGCGGCGUGCUUAACACAUGCAAGUCGAACGGAGAGGCCCUGCUUUUGUGGGGUGCUCGAGUGGCGAACGGGUGAGUAACACGUGAGUAACCUGCCCUUGACUUUGGGAUAACUUCAGGAAACUGGGGCUAAUACCGGAUAGGAGCUCCUGCUGCAUGAUGGGGGUUGGAAAGUUUCGGCGGUUGGGGAUGGACUCGCGGCUUAUCAGCUUGUUGGUGGGGUAGUGGCUUACCAAGGCUUUGACGGGUAGCCGGCCUGAGAGGGUGACCGGCCACAUUGGGACUGAGAUACGGCCCAGACUCCUACGGGAGGCAGCAGUGGGGAAUAUUGCACAAUGGGCGGAAGCCUGAUGCAGCAACGCCGCGUGCGGGAUGACGGCCUUCGGGUUGUAAACCGCUUUCGCCUGUGACGAAGCGUGAGUGACGGUAAUGGGUAAAGAAGCACCGGCUAACUACGUG